rnacentral:rRNA from 1 species
AGUUCAACAAUAAUGUGGGUUUUUCCCUUGUGGCCUGUGUGCAGGUGGUGCAUGGCUGUCGUCAGCUCGUGUCGUGAGAUGUUGGGUUAAGUCCCGCAACGAGCGCAACCCUUGUCCUAUGUUGCCAGCGGGUUAUGCCGGGGACUCGUAGGAGACUGCCGGGGUCAACUCGGAGGAAGGUGGGGAUGACGUCAAGUCAUCAUGCCCCUUAUGUCCAGGGCUUCACACAUGCUACAAUGGCCGGUACAAAGGGCUGCGAUGCCGUGAGGUGGAGCGAAUCCUUUCAAAGCCGGUCUCAGUUCGGAUCGGGGUCUGCAACUCGACCCCGUGAAGUCGGAGUCGCUAGUAAUCGCAGAUCAGCAACGCUGCGGUGAAUACGUUCCCAGGCCUUGUGCACACCGCGGAA